rnacentral:rRNA from 1 species
UCGGUGAAACGUUUUAACAGCUGCGGUAUUUUAACUGUACUAAGGUAGCAUAAUAAUUUGCCUUAUAAUUUGAGGCUAGAAUGAAUGGUUUGACGAAGGUUAAUCUGUCUCCACUUUAUUUUUUAGAAAUUAAUUUUCAUAGUGAAAAAGCUUGAAUUUUUUAAGGGGACGAGAAGACCCUACUGAGCUUAUAAUUUUAUUAAAACAUAUAUUCAUAUAUAUUGUGUUAUAUAAAUUUUAAUUGGGGUGAUUAAGGAAUAAUAAUAUUAUUAUAUAUGUAACUUCCUUAGAAAUAUUAUAUUGUUGAAUAAAGUAACCGAUAAAUUAAUAUAAUUAUUAUGUAUUGCUUAUAAUAUAGUUACCAUAGGGAUAACAGCGUAAUUUACUUAGAGAGUUCUUAUUGAAAAGUAAGAUUGCGACCUCGAUGUUGGAUUAAAGUAACCUUAAGGUGCAGAAGCUUUAUGGGGUAAAUCUGUUCGAUUUU